CUAAAAUCAGUCAAUAGUAAAACCUUUGUUUUAUUUUACCAGUUAAAACACUCAGUAACACCAGCUUGAUGUCAGAUAUCACCCUUGUAAUUGCAAAGCCCAUUAGUGUCAAGAUCAGAUCAAUAUUUGUCUUGAAAUCCGCAACAGUUGUUCAAGUGCCUAUAACUGCUCAUCAGCAGGUCAUAAAACGAAGCUUCAAGAUUGAAGGAAAAUGUCUAGAAAUUAAGAAAUUUGCGGAGGGAUAUAAUUAACCAAUAAGCAACAAUCCAGAAUGUGAUUUAACAAUAUGACUAUUAAAAUGUGAAAUAAAAGUGAUUUUGACUGAACUGUUUAGGAUACACAACUUUGAUAGUCUGCUUAAAUUUUGUUGAACUUUAUCAGUUAAUUGAAACUAAUUCCCACAAUAUUUAGCUGAAAUCAAUAAUGGAUUAUCUCGGAAUAUCUUUAGAAAACAUUUCUUUGGAAGAUGUCAUUGAUGAAGAAACCAACACAUUAGGAAUAUCCCUUGAGGAAAUGGAAACCUCUUUAAAUCCUCAGGUACUUUACAUGUUUUACUCAAAUAUUCUUAUAUAAAUAACUCUACUUAUGUAAAGCAGUUAACCUUUAUGUCGUAAAGGCAGAUUAAAAGCAAUGUUUGUAUUGAAUACACCAGCAUGGAAUUUAUCUUAAUGCUCAAUUUAGAUUAACAUUAUAUUUUAUAAUGCUACGUAAUUCCAUUUACUAAUAUAACGAUAUUUGAUCAAACUGUAUUAAGUACAUGAAUAUGUAUGAUGUAUGCUUAACACAGUUAAUGGUUUUUUAAGACUAUUAUAAUUAUUAUAAUAUUUGACCUUUCAGGAUUUGUCAAAGCAUAUCUUUGAGUUUGAUGAUGAAUUUAUCUUCAGCCUAAAGGAGUCCGAUGAACCAUUGGCUGUUGUUAGUCCAGAGGAACCCACACAGCCACUUCAUACAUCAACACCAAAGAAACCCAUACAUACAAGUAAAACAGGAAAAGGCAGACCAGUUCGGAG